rnacentral:lncRNA from 1 species
GUGUCCUUAAUUUAUGCGUAGAGACAUGAAGUUGUGCAAGGUGGCACAACUGACAGAGAUUUGCAGAGUUCCUCAGCAGAAACGUGUUCGUGCUUCUUCUGAUCUGAUACGAAUACUUCUGAAGCCUAUUUUGGUUGUACUUCAAAGAAGAUGGCAACAUUGUCUAGAAGACAUAACAAAGCUAUGUUGAAGGUCAACAGACAGUGCCAGGAAAACUUUGGAAUUGAUUUUGGUAAAUAUUACUGUUACAAUAUCUCCCUCACACUCAUAUUCCUCUCUACAACCCUACUGUGGGACCAGUUACAGUGAUAAUAAUAUAUCCCAGGCAUAUUGGGUCAGAUUAUUUUGCAUUUUCUAUAGACUUUGCAGAGGAGUUCUUUCUUUGCCCUUCCUUAAAAUUGCAGUCCUUAACCAAGCAGAAAUUUCAUUCUUUGUUGAAUUUUGUUCAUGUGAUGCAUUGCGUAGUAUGCUUAUUAUUUUUUUAUUUCAUGCAAGAAUUCUGAUUUUCAGUUUCUUUCCUUUGUAGUUUUGAUAUGACCUUCAAAGAGGAUGUACACAGAUGAGGUGGUAAUGUCUGUUGUUGAAUGCUUGCUGAAAAGAGAUUGUUAUCAUAUUUUACAAAGGAAAAUUGUUUGACAACAAUCUAACUCCAGAAUUACAGUAUAUUAAUCACCAGAAACAUUUAUAGUCAGUAUGUCUUCUGUGUAUUAAAAUAAGAAUCUAUAAUGUACAAGCAAUAUGCAAUAUACAUACAUCUGACAAAAUAAAAGCAUGUCAUGAUACUGCUACA